rnacentral:tRNA from 7 species
GGGCGCAUAGCUCAGCUGGGAGAGCAUCUGCCUUACAAGCAGGAGGUCAUAGGUUCGAGCCCUAUUGCGCCCACCA